rnacentral:rRNA from 1 species
CAGCCGCCGCGGUAAUACAGAGUGUGCGAGCGUUAAUCGGAUUUACUGGGCGUAAAGCGUGCGUAGGCGGCUUCUUAAGUCGGAUGUGAAAUCCCUGAGCUUAACUUAGGAAUUGCAUUCGAUACUGGGAAGCUAGAGUAUGGGAGAGGAUGGUAGAAUUCCAGGUGUAGCGGUGAAAUGCGUAGAGAUCUGGAGGAAUACCGAUGGCGAAGGCAGCCAUCUGGCCUAAUACUGACGCUGAGGUACGAAAGCAUGGGGAGCAAACAGGAUUAGAUACCCCUGUAGUCCUGUCUCUUAUACA